GUGAGGCAUGGUGGCGGGCGCCUGUAGUCCCAGCUACUCGGGAGGCUGACACAAGAGAAUUGCUUCAACCCGGGAGGCGGAGGUUGCAGUGAGGUGAGAUCAUGCCACUGUACUCCAGCUUGGGCGACAGAGCAAGACUGUAUCUCAAAAAAUAUUAUUUUUUGAGAUACAGUCUUGCUCUGUCGCCCAAGCUGGAGUACAGUGGCAUGAUCUCACCUCACUGCAACCUCCGCCUCCCGGGUUGAAGCAAUUCUCUUGUGUCAG
rnacentral:SRP_RNA from 1 species